rnacentral:rRNA from 1 species
ACGGAAGGCAGCAGUGGGGAAUAUUGGGCAAUGGGCGAAAGCCUGACCCAGCAACGCCGCGUGAAGGAAGAAGGUCUUCGGAUUGUAAACUUCUUUUAUAAGGGACGAAGAAAGUGACGGUACCUUAUGAAUAAGCCACGGCUAACUACGUGCCAGCAGCCGCGGUAAUACGUAGGUGGCAAGCGUUAUCCGGAUUUACUGGGUGUAAAGGGCGCGUAGGCGGGGAUGCAAGUCAGAUGUGAAAACUAUGGGCUCAACCCAUAGACUGCAUUUGAAACUGUUGUUCUUGAGUGAAGUAGAGGUAAGCGGAAUUCCUAGUGUAGCGGUGAAAUGCGUAGAUAUUAGGAGGAACAUCGGUGGCGAAGGCGGCUUACUGGGCUUUUACUGACGCUGAGGCUCGAAAGCGUGGGGAGCAAACAGGAUUAAUACCCUGGUA